rnacentral:lncRNA from 1 species
AGAACCAGAUAAUGUAAAGAUUGUAAAGGAAGCCAUUAGUUUGUGUGAAGAGCCUUCAAUCAGAGGAGUAGAAAAACAUUGUGCAACUUCAUUGGAAUCCGUGGUAGAUUUCAUCACUUCUAAGCUUGGGAAGAAUGUCCAAGUUAUUUCUACAGAGGUAGAAAAGGAAAGUAAGUCCCAAAAAUUCUUAGUGAAAAAUGGAGUGAAUAUGUUAGCAGAAGAAAAUGUCAUUGUAUGUCAUCCAAUGAAUUACCUAUAUGUUGUCUUUUACUGCCAUAAGAUAUCAAAUACUACUGCACGUUUUAUGCCUUUGGAGGGAGAAGAUGGGAAUAGGGUUAAAGCUGUAGCCGUAUGCCACAAAGACACAUCUGAAUGGGAUCCAAACCACGGCUUUUUACA